rnacentral:rRNA from 1 species
GAUGAACGCUGGCGGCGUGCCCAAUACAUGCAACUCGAGCGAACGGACGAGAAGCUUGCUUCUCUGAUGUUAGCGGCGGACGGGUGAGUAACACGUGGAUAACCUACCUAUAAGACUGGGAUAACUUCGGGAAACCGGAGCUAAUACCGGAUGAUAUUUUGAACCGCAUGGUUCAAAAGUGAAAGACGGUCUUGCUGUCACUUAUAGAUGGAUCCGCGCUUCAUUAGCUAGUUGGUAAGGUAACGGCGUACCAAGGCAACGAUGCAUAGCCGACCUGAGAGGGUGAACGACGACACUGGAACUAGGACACGGUCCAGACUCCUACGGGAGGCAGCAGUAGGGAAUCCUCCGCAAUGGGCGAAAGCCUGACGGAGCAACGGCGCGUGAGUGAUGAAGGUCUUCGGAUCGUAAAACUCUGUUAUUAGGGAAGAACAUAUGUGUAAGUAACUGUGCACAUCUUGACAGUACCUAAUCAGAAAGCCACGGCUAACUACGUG